rnacentral:tRNA from 1 species
GGAUUGGUAGCUCAGUUGGAUAGAGCACUUGACUACGAAUCAAGGGGUCGGGGGUUCGAAUCCCUCCCAGUCCGCCA